rnacentral:lncRNA from 1 species
UGAUAAAAUAGGAAGAGAUAAGACACAUUUCACACAGCUGGUCUUGUUUAUUAGGCCUACGUCUCUUGUCAGGUGUCGUAUUCAUCAUGGCGGCAAAAGCAAUACUAAUCGCGACAGUUUGUCUUGUAAUGUGUUUUACUAUUCGGACGGACGCAACUAUUCAAAACACGGUUGCGUGCAAUCUGCUCGGCGGAUACUGCGUGGACGCCAGACUAAUACGUUGUGGUAAUGUGGUGCCUGACAUAUGCGGUGACGUUGGCAUACGCAGUUUGUGAAUUAUGUUCCAGCACAGUUGGGUGAUUUAUUUCGGAAGUGAAUCGGGAGACGAAAUGAUGACCCUUCGGGAGCGGAUGUGACAAAUGAAAAAUACAUUUACAUUAAAAACAUGAUAUGCUAA